UGUAAAAGGACUAAACUUCAGCCAGGAGAACAAGUGAGAUAAUCCAUCCACAAUACGAGCUAACCACAGGCGAGCCUGCUGCUGCUAAUCGCUGCUGCUGGAAAGGACUGUUGGAGGGCAGGAACGCGUAGGCUGUUGGCACCAGGCUGCACUAGUGACAAACUCUGAGACAAUGUUAUUGAACGUCACAUGUCUUGUGUUACUAUUUGCAGUUUUAUAACUUUUCCUUUGGUUAAGAAAGGAGCUAAAGAGGCACUUACCUCAUUGGUCUUUGGGGAAAAUGUGUUAGCCUAUGGACGUCUGUCUGUGGACUACAUGGAUAGCCUGCCAGGCACACGUGAUGUUGUUUUGCUCUUGUUUCAGGAUCUUUGCAGGCAUAUCCAAUCCAAAGGAAAAAAGAAAAAGGAGCCUUUACUGCUCAUGAAGCUCAGUUAACAUGAUAGUGAUGAGAUUACCAUUGGUGGGGAUGUGCGUGUUGACUUUGGCCUCUGUCCCAAUCAUGAUACCCCGCUUCAAGUGCACUGCACUGAUUCCUGGUGUGCCAGAUCGGUGCAGGCUGCUGCAGGUCUCUAGCACCCUCUGUCUGUUUGGAGGCUGGUACUGCAGACACUCUGCUCUUGAAAAACAGUCCUAAUCAGAUCCAGCCAGAAGCAGUUUGUCUGGCUUGUGGUUUUCUUCUCAGUGGAUGACUAUUUCUCAUAUCAUUCAGUGCUUAAAACACAUUUCACAGUUGAGUUAGUUUUCUCUUCUGACAGUCUGAACUCAAAUCUGUGGAUUGGUUUGGCAUGUAUGGGUGUGUUUCUCUCGGGUGCUUGUGGUACAGGGAGCCUGUUGUAGUAUGGAGCGGAUACUUACACUAAAUACAGACAGGAAGUAGGUGUCAUCACAUGGUCACACUAUAGGAUUUUAUCAGGGUUUUCAACUUUAACAAUCACUUGCAUUACAAGUGUAAAUGUACAUAACCCCCACACUUUGGAGAUGCACCUACGGAUCCUGUAAAAUCAUAAAGCUGAAAGUUUCGUCUAGUGAGGAUUGCCUCAUUUACCUAUUCUGCUAAUAUUGCCAUUCACAAAGGCCGAGAAUAUCAUCUACUAUUACAAAUAGUUCUCCCGUCUUAAAACUACAGCAUAUAUUGCACUAUAUAUAAAAGUGCCCAAAAACAUCACUUUUUUUAAACUAACAAAUGCAUUUCUUUGACUUGAGCUCACGCUGUAAUAGGAGCAAUUUGAAUUAUUAAACCGGUCCUCAGCUCCUGGGUCUGUGUCAUUCACAGUGUGCUUUGCUGCCAGACACAAAGUGAAGCUCACAGACAGACCUGCCAAGUCAAGCUAAAAUAACUUUAAAGAGCUUUGGUCCAGUUAGAGACUGAGCUCGCAGGCGGAUGAAUUCACAGAAAAAGGUUUCAUAGAGGGUGAGAAUACCAGCCGGUAGCAUGAGUUUAAUGGUGCUAACAAACGAUUGUUUAAGAAAUCCAGACUCAAGGUAGGGUGUUCCUUUGAAACAGCGGUUUCAAAGGAACAUCCUGAAUUUUUGAUAAUGCCAUCCCUGAAAGAAAUGGGGAGGAUAAUAGAUAAAACUUUUUUUUUCAAUCCCGUAAGGCAUAUUCAAACGUUUAUAGUCUACUUUAUCUUCUGAUUGAUUGGUGUCUUGCAGAUGCCUUGAAUAACAUUUCAGCUUGGACUCUCGUAGUGGUUGAUGGUGGGAAGUGUGGUAUUGCUGUCUGACUUCAGCCAUAAUGGCCGUCAUAUACUCAUAUCAGAGACUCCCUUAACCAGAAAACAACAUGCCAUCUUCACACUACAACUACAAGACUUAAAUUUAAAGAUGCAAACCUUAUUGUGAUUAACAACCUCUUCAUCAGCGCUCUACCUGUCUACAAACAUUCACUGGAGCUGUUGUUGAACACCCCGCUGCUGCUCGGUACAGUGUUGAUAUCCACUUUUAUCUUCUUCCUCAGUAUGAAUGGUGAGGCUCACUAUGAAAACAUGUUUUAUUGUUGUAAUGAUGUUUGCAGUUAGGCAAUUAAAGAGAUGGUUUCCAUUUUCACAUUCCUGAAUUACCACAUUUUUCAAGUCCCAAUCAAACACAUGUGUGAGGCACCAUCCAUCAUUCGGAGUACUAAGUGGGAAAACGCAUUCCUGUGUUUACUAUAAUUCUUUGGUUAUUACUGCAAACUUCAGUUCAUUGGGUUCAUCAUGUAACCUCUGUACUGUGCCUAAAUUAAUAAGUAGGUCAGUGAAGAUUUAUGUCAGAUAAGAAGCAGACAAUAAGUCAUCUCAUAAACUUGGCAGGAAAAUGCCAAACACGCACAGUUAUACACAUGUUUAUUGUGAGUUUUAUGAACGUGCUAUAAUUCACAUAAAACUGCUCCUGUACAUACACAGCUGAGGCAAAUGUUUCUGUGUGUUUUUGCAUUUUGUGAAUGGGAUACAGACCGCACAGCCACAGGUAGUGUUCGUGCAUCCGUAAAUGCCAGGCACGUGUUAGAUUUCACGUCCGCGUUCUGCUCUCACAACUUCUCUCCUCAGUGUGUGUGUUUUACCUCAAACUGCACUAUUCUGCUUCCCUACACAAGCUCAUGAUCCAGCUGUCGUUCUGCAGCUUUAACAAAAGAAUGUUAUCUUUUACGAGCCUGUCACUACUUAAGGGGUUCAGUUGCUCUGCAUUGUUAUUGUUGUUGUAGGUCUCUGCAUGUCGUUUUACACAUGCAUACAUUUGUUCAAGAAAGUACAUUUCCUACUUAAUAACAACCUCACAUCCAUGCAUGUGUGGAAGGUUUAUGACCAUUUCAACCCUUUGAGGUCAUCAUUGAGCCAACAUGAAAAGUAAUUCCCCCAAUCAUAAUGGUUUGAAUGAUUUAACUUUUAUCUUGGGAAUUGGCAAGGCUCAAAGUUGCGGGAUAUGGCAGAUAGUCAGGUGUCUUUCAAAAUAUCACCUCUGCUUUUUGGAGUUACUGAGCUGAACUUUUCUGUCAUGAUUGCUGAUGGCAGCUUUAGGGAGAAUUUGAAAAAAAUAUCUGACUAUCAAUAGGAUUUGCUAUGAGAUACAGAGUCCAAGAAGUUUCUUCUUUUGGUGAGAGAAGGUUUAGUGUUCUGUUAGCUCUUAGUAUUUAGUAUUCUAAGUAAGCUGUCUUUGUUUUGCACUUAAACUUGUCAAGUUUAUGGAUUACCUUGCUAGCAAAGCUUGCUAAAGUUAGCAGAUAGUUAAAGUGAAUUUUGGUCCCAAAAUAUACACUUUCAUACUUGGAUAUUUAAUUUUUCAGCAGUGGAUUGUAUUGGUCAUAUUAAAGAAAAGGCGCAAGCCAUCUCCACAAUCUUCUCUAUGGAGAAUUAGUUUUAACUGGUGUGUUAGGUUAGAAAAAUGCUUUUGUUCUUAGCAAAAAUCAGAUCUAGGCAUUCUUGAUUUACUUUUUCUUUCAUCAGUCUUUUCUGCAGUCUUUUGCCCUGUGCAGCUUGGCAAGAAAACAAGAUUGACCAAAACAUGAACAAAGGCUAUUACACAGUUUAGCUCUCCUGUGUUACCUCUGUGAAUGACUUCACUGGUCACGAGUAAUAUCCAAAGCCAUCCUUUGGGGCCAAUGCAAGAACUGCAGAUCAAGUGGAGGUUGGGAUGGUGGAUGGGCAUGAAGCACACAGGAUUUAAUGUUGUCUGCAGAUUACCACAAUUACAUUCACAGAUUGACUUUUUAUUAUUAACAACCAAAAAAUCGUAACAAUUGUUCAGUACUGAAAACCAUAAUCUUUCUAUAAGUUUACCAUAUCAUGCUGGCUCCUUGCAGAUACUCCAUCAUCCAGAUAAUGACUGAUUGUUAGACCUCUCUGCAUUGAAUCAUACUUGUUAUUAAUUUCUGGCUCUCUUCCACAGCAUGUCUUUUAUCCUGUCUUCCUUCUGUCUCCCCAACCAGUUGCGGCAGAUGGCCCCACCCCUCCCAGGUUUCUUCCAGUUGAAAGGGAGUUUUUCCUUCCCACUGUCGCCAAGGUGCUUGCUCAUAGGGGGUCAUAUGAUUGUUGGGUUUUUCUCUGUAUGUAUUAUUGAGCCUUGAGGGGACUGUUGUUGGGAUUUGGCGCUGUAUAAUUGAAUUGAAUUGAAUUGAAUUGAAUUGAAUUGUUAGCGAGUAGCAGCAUUCCUGUCUGGUGAUUUGGUUGAAAGAGACAAAAUCUGGAAGGCUGCCAUUUGGAUAUGCUAACCCAGAGAGCCAAAAUCUUAUAUGAGCUUUGGCUAAAAUUUACUGGGUAUAUUUCUCCAAAAUCAUAACUGUGAAGUUUGUACCUGCUGUUUAAGAAAACACUUAAUCUUCACAGAAAGCAAAAGCAAAAUAAACAACAAAAAAACAGAACAAUUAGUAAUGUUUACAGACAUGUGGAUAUUGUAUUAAAAUAGUACUUGAAAAAGCAUGACCCUCGCUCUUAUCCUGUUCAAGUAAUUUAAAAAUGAGUAAUUCUAGCCAAGAUCACAAUUUAAAAUGUUUUCUAGCUCAAACUCUACAACACCAGACAUUCUCAGAGGUGGACUCGCAAGGUUAACUUGCUCAGCACAGCUCCAACAAGGCUUCAGUCCAAUGGAGCAGAAGUGGAAUUCCACAUCUGCAAUUAUUGAACAACAGGGUGUAAAAGAAGGAUUUGAGCUGGAAUGGAGGAAUGAGUGGGGGUAGUGGGCAAAAAGUCAGGCAAGGGUGAAAAGUAGGGAAACAACUGAUAAAGUACAGAGUCAUAGCCAAAUCCAUUUUUCCAUCUCUGUUUACUUCAUUCUAAAGGAAACAGACAGGUAUACAGGUAAAUGAGAUGAUACACGGCAUGAAGGAGGUAAAUAUUAGAGAAAAAGAAUGGCAUGGUAAAUAAAUGCAGGCAUUUUAACUCUCAGCAAACUGGCAUUCCUUAGUACAGGAGACAGCACACAAUACAGUACGUCCUUAAGAGUCAAUAAUACGAUGACUCUUCCAUUCACACAAAAUCAUAUUGGCACCUGACGAUACACAAUGGGUGCACUUGGUAUAUCCUCAA